rnacentral:rRNA from 1 species
AUUGAACGCUGGCGGCAGGCCUAACACAUGCAAGUCGAGCGGAUGAAGGGAGCUUGCUCCUGGAUUCAGCGGCGGACGGGUGAGUAAUGCCUAGGAAUCUGCCUGGUGGUGGGGGAUAACGUCCGGAAACGGGCGCUAAUACCGCAUACGUCCUGAGGGAGAAAGUGGGGGAUCUUCGGACCUCACGCUAUCAGAUGAGCCUAGGUCGGAUUAGCUAGUUGGUGGGGUAAAGGCCUACCAAGGCGACGAUCCGUAACUGGUCUGAGAGGAUGAUCAGUCACACGGGAACUGAGACACGGUCCAGACCCCUACGGGAGGCAGCAGUGGGAAAUAUUGGACAAUGGGCGAAAGCCUAAUCCAGCCAGGCCGCGUGUGUGAAGAAGGUCUUCGGAUUGUAAAGCACUUUAAGUUGGGAGGAAGGGCAUUAAGUUAAUACCUUGCUGUUUGGACGUUACCAACAGAAUAAGCACCGGCUAACUUCUU